rnacentral:rRNA from 1 species
UACGGAGGGUGCAAGCGUUAUCCGGAUUCACUGGGUUUAAGGGUGCGUAGGCGGGCAGGUAAGUCCGUGGUGAAAUCUCUGAGCUUAACUCAGAAACUGCCAUGGAUACUAUCUGUCUUGAAUAUUGUGGAGGUAAGCGGAAUAUGUCAUGUAGCGGUGAAAUGCUUAGAUAUGACAUAGAACACCAAUUGCGAAGGCAGCUUGCUACACAGUUAUUGACGCUGAGGCACGAAAGCGUGGGGAUCAAACAGG